rnacentral:rRNA from 1 species
GACGAACCGUGCGAACGUUAUUCGGAAUCACUGGGCGUAAAGCGUGCGCAGGCGGUUUUGCAAGCCAGGUGUGAAAUCCCCGGGCUCAACCUGGGAAUGGCAUUUGGGACUGCAAGGCUGGAGUGCGGCAGAGGAGACUGGAAUUCCUGGUGUAGCAGUGAAAUGCGUAGAUAUCAGGAGGAAUACCGAUGGCGAAGGCAGGUCUCUGGGCUGACACUGACGCUCAUGCACGAAAGCGUGGGGAGCAAACAGG